UACGGGGGGAGCAAGCGUUGUUCGGAUUUACUGGGCGUAAAGGGCGCGUAGGCGGUCAGCACAAGUCAGUUGUGAAAUCUCCGGGCUUAACUCGGAAGGGUCAACUGAUACUGUGCGACUAGAGUGCGGAAGGGGCAACUGGAAUUCUCGGUGUAGCGGUGAAAUGCGUAGAUAUCGAGAGGAACACCAGUGGCGAAGGCGAGUCUCUGGACGACUCCUGACACUGAGGCACGAAAGCUAGGGGAGCAAACAGG
rnacentral:rRNA from 1 species